rnacentral:rRNA from 1 species
GACGAAGCUUACUAGCUAGUCGAGGGGCAGCACGAUGUAGCAUACAUUGGGUGGCGACCGGCGCACGGGUGAGUAACGCCUAUGCAACCUACCUAUCAGAGGGGAAUAACCCGGCGAAAGUCCGACUAAUACCGCAUAAAACAGGGGUUCCACAUGGAAAUAUUUGUUAAAGAAUUAUCGCUGAGAGAUGGGCAUGCUUUCCAUUAGAUAGUUGGUGAGGUAACGGCUCACCAAGUCUACGAUGGAUAGGGGUUCUGAGAGGAAGGUCCCCCACACUGGUACUGAGACACGGACCAGACUCCUACGGGAGGCAGCAGUGAGGAAUAUUGGUCAAUGGGCGAGAGCCUGAACCAGCCAAGUCGCGUGAAGGAUGAAGGAUCUAUGGUUUGUAAACUUCUUUUAUAUGGGAAUAAAGUGAGGAACGUGUUCCUUUUUGUAUGUACCAUAUGAAUAAGCAUCGGCUAACUCCGUGCCAGCAGCCGCGGUAAUACGGAGGAUGCGAGCGUUAUCCGGAUUUAUUGGGUUUAAAGGGUGCGUAGGUGGUUAAUUAAGUCAGCGGUGAAAGUUUGUGGCUCAACCAUAAAAUUGCCGUUGAAACUGGUUGACUUGAGUAUAUUUGAAGUAGGCGGAAUGCAUGGUGUAGCGGCGAAAUGCAUAGAUAUCACGCAGAACCCCGAUUGCGAACGCAGCUUACUCACCUAUCUCUGACACUGAACCACAAAAGCGUGGGGAUCACACCACGAAUAUAUA